rnacentral:rRNA from 1 species
UACAGAGGGGGCGAGCGUUGUUCGGAAUUACUGGGCGUAAAGGGCGCGUAGGCGGCCUGCUAAGUCGAACGUGAAAUCCCCGGGCUCAACCCGGGAACUGCGUCCGAUACUGGAUGGCUUGAAUUCGGGAGAGGGAUGCAGAAUUCCAGGUGUAGCGGUGAAAUGCGUAGAUAUCUGGAGGAAUACCGGUGGCGAAGGCGGCAUCCUGGACCGACAUUGACGCUGAGGAGCGAAAGCUAGGGGAGCAAACGGGG